CACGUAGGGUGCGAGCGUUGUCCGGAAUUACUGGGCGUAAAGCGCAUGUAGGCGGCAGCGCAAGUCGGGCGUGAAAUCCCACGGCUCAACCGUGGAAGUGCACUCGAAACUGCGCAGCUAGAGUCCUGGAGAGGAAGGUGGAAUGCUUGGUGUAGAGGUGAAAUUCGUAGAUAUCAAGCGGAACACCGGUGGCGAAGGCGGCCUUCUGGACAGUGACUGACGCUGAGAUGCGAAAGCGUGGGGAGCAAACAGG
rnacentral:rRNA from 1 species